rnacentral:rRNA from 1 species
AUACGUAGGCGCCAAGCGUUAUCCGGAUUUACUGGGCGUAAAGGGCGUGUAGGCGGUCUUGCAAGUCAGAAGUGAAAUUCCUGAGCUCAACUCGGGCGCUGCUUCUGAAACUGCAGGACUUGAGUGCUGGAGGGGAUAGCGGAAUUCCUAGUGGAGCGGUAAAAUGCGCAGAUAUUAGGAAGAACACCGGUGGCGAAGGCGACUUUCUGGGCAGGAACUGACGCGGGGCCGCGAAUGCGUGGGGAGCAAACUGGAUUAGAUACCCUGGUAGUCCAUGCCGUAAGCGAUGAAUACUAGGUGUGGGGGGACUGACCCCCUCCGUGCCGCAGUUAACACAAUAAGUAUGCCGCCUGGGGAGUACGAUCGCAAGAUUGAAACUUAAAUGAAUUGACGGGG